AUUGAACGCUGGCGGCAGGCCUAACACAUGCAAGUCGAGCGGAUGAAGGGAGCUUGCUCCUGGAUUCAGCGGCGGACGGGUGAGUAAUGCCUAGGAAUCUGCCUGGUAGUGGGGGAUAACGUCCGGAAACGGGCGCUAAUACCGCAUACGUCCUGAGGGAGAAAGUGGGGGAUCUUCGGACCUCACGCUAUCAGAGGAGCCUAGGUCGGAUUAGCUAGUUUGUGGGGUAAAGGCCUACCAAGGCGACGAUCCGUAACUGGUCUGAGAGGAUGAUCAGUCACCCUGGAACUGAGACACGGUACAGACUCCUACGGGAGGCAGCCGUGGGGAAUAUUGGACCAUGGGCGAAAGCCUGAUCCAGCCAUGCCGCGUGUGUGAAGAAGGUCUUCGGAUUGUAAAGCACUUUAAGUUGGGAGGAAGGGCAGUAAGCUAAUACCUUGCUGUUUUGACGUUACCAACAGAAUAAGCCACGGCUAAAUUCGUG
rnacentral:rRNA from 1 species